GUCUGAAAUAAACUACAAAAUUCCAUUUGUUUUUUAUUUUUUCUGUUUUUCUUUGGGACAAAAGACAUAUGGUAAAGAAUCACAAAAACAUAGAAUUAUUGGUGAAUAAAUUCUGUUUCCUAUUCAGUUUGAGGCAAUUACAACAGGUAGAAAAGUGAUUUUUUUAAGGAUAAAAAGACAAUGAAGAAAGUGUCAUUUUAAACAUAAGCAUUUGAAAGCGUCAUCCGUGUGGAAGGCAGGAUCAGAAAGUAAGGGAAGGCAAAGGAAGUAUGCCAAAUAAAUGCUUACAAUUAGGGUGAAGGAAAAUGUGAAGCAUAGAGAGACAUACAUUAGAGAUGAGAGGUUAUGUGUUGGAGUAAAAACUGGUAAGCUGAGUGGGAAACAGCUCCUAAAAUCCUUCUGCCAGUUGUAAAAUUUAUGACAGAAAAAGAUAAAACAUCUAUGGGACAAUUUGAUAAGUGGGUUGAAAUGUGUUAAAUGUAAGUUUUAGUUCAAAUAUAUAUAUAUUUGGACCAGCUAAAGACAUGUUCGAAGAGAAAAGAAAGGAGAGAUGCAGAAGAGCAUGCAGCCUUGUCCAGAGGAAAAAAAUAAAAUAAAAUAAAGCUGAAACCUACCAUUUAAGGCAGAUUGCUAUAUCAACUAGAAUUAAGGGAAAGUACAAAGACUUAAAACAGAACAUUUGACUAGAUAAAAUAAGGAUAAAAGGAAACUAUUAAAAAGACACCAUAAGAACAAACUAACACAUUAUCUCUUCUUUAACUGAGGUACACAAGUCAUGGAAUCCAUUCCAGCUGAUCCAGUCCUGGACUCCGCUCCUCCUCCUCCAAUAUGCUCCAGUCUGAGAUCCAGCCCAGGAUGAAGACUAUGCUGAGGUUAAAACUGCUGAAACAUGACGCCAUAAGCCAUAGAGAUGAACUAAUGCAACAUUAAAGACCUACAGAAGCACUGUUCUGGUCCGGUAACAGUAAUGCAACACAUUGUAUUGCCCAGUCAUGGAAAUGCCAAUUAUAAAAGGAAUAUUUGGUAUUUGGAACAUUGUUGAAGCAAUGGGGCACGUGACAGCCUCACAUGCAAUUGGAGCAGUUUGGACCGUUUAUCAAAGGAUGCCAUAAUGACUUAACAAAGACAGCUGAGUAGCAAACCAGCUCAAACAACACCUCCAUUUUGGACACCUGCAAGAUUUCUACAAUCUCAACAAAAUACUUCACUCUAGCUUCACAAGAAAGUAGGCUGGAGCACAGAAUGGACACAGUACAGCGAUGUCAUCACUGGAUAAUUGUCGCCUGUGUGAUGCAGGCCAAUCACAACAACAUGUUUGCAUUUAAGAACACAUCAUGUAGAGCUCUCCAAGUUCACAUGAUCAUCACCUUAUGGUCACAGCGGUCUGAAAUAAAGUUCAUCGGAAAAGAACAUGUUCUGAGCCGGACAAGGCCAGAAACUGCUGUUGGAAUAAAGAUGCCGAAUUUCACAGCAUCUUACUGACAGACAAGAGGACCUGCAAGCUGAAGAUUUACACAAAGAGGACAAAAGUGAGAAAAUAGCCAUCAAAAGGGGCUGAAGAACUCUGUUCUAAGCCAUCACAGUACAAGAAAAUGUACAGUACAGUGGACAAAAGUGGACAUUGGUACACAGAGAUUGUCUGGACAGAUCCAAAGCAGAUCCAAAUGGACUGAGCUGGAGGGGGCGGGACGGACGCCAGUGACAGGAAACAGCUGGGACACACACAGACUGGCAGGUUAAAGAGGCCCUACCCUCUCCAGCGACAGAACCACUGCACAGUCUCCUGCCAGAAGAUUUUGUGGUGGUUAAGGACUUCAGAAGAAAGCACUGGAUGGCGCAGAGGUGGAAAGGUGCUCCUGACAACAUACACAGCGGUAAAAGUGGCUGAAAGAGCUACGUAGAUUCACGCCAGCCACUGCAGGAAGGUGCCUGCACCACUACAACAAUAGAUCAACAAGUGUGCACAAUCAGCAACUGAACCACUGUUUUCCCUGAUCUUGUGUUGUGAGUGAAGGAGGGAUUGGGAACGCUUAGGCACCCUUUGUCUCGGACUCACAGGCUGUUAGAUGGCAAACAUCAGCACAAGGGAGCUAGUGGGAAAACUCCUGGUCUCACCACUGCUGAUUUAAGUGACGCCAUCAAAACUUAAGAGUGAGUAGCAUGCUUGUCUCAGGAAGGAGACAUCCUUGGGAUCCAGUCAGACACCCAAAUAUGUGUGGGCCUAGGAGGAGCAACACAGAUGUUUGCUGCCAUUGCAAUAACAUGAACAGUGCCUCUGUUGCAGUUCUUAGAUCACAAGCAUGAUGCACAAAAGCCACCACAACAGAUCACCACAGUGAACUACAGGCAUUGACAUCAAAUAGCAGUGUUAGAGGCAAGAGAAGCACCCAAAGAGGCUGGGAUGCUUGGCUAAUGUUUAAUAACUCCUGUUGUAUGUUUGUGCCCAACAAUGCAGCUCCAGAUGGUUCGGUGACCCGAGUGCUGGAAGGACUGCGUUCCAUACGAGAAGAACUUGCAGAGAACUCUGAAGUGGACACUAACAUGUUCGACUGGUCUGAUUCUGUAUUUGCUAAAUAAAAAGCCUUAGUGAUGCCCAUACUA